AGAAAAUAUAAUCACAUUUGUGAUCAUGCGACGAACAACUGUAUAAGUCCAAAAAAAACAAAAAAAUUAGAUAACCAUGUGACUUCAAUGUAUGUGUGCCACUUUGUAUACAGAAUCACUUUGGGGGGUGUUCGCGCGACCAAAACUCUAACAUUUUAAAAUAGUCUCACGCGGAAAAACCGUUUAUGUCCACUAACAAAAAAUGGAGACGCCGGUUGCUUUCAUGUCCGCUGCGGACAUUAAUAGACAAAACGUCGGCAAAAAAAGGAGAGCGAACAUAAAUGAAUGGAAGGACAGAGCAAGGAAGUCUUUGAGGGAUGCUGGGAAACCAUAUGUGAACCGGAGAGGAGAGCAAAAACGAGGAAAAAGUCCACCAAAAGCGGGAAAGGCGUGCAAGGAGACAUGUCCCAGGCAGUGUUCAAGCCUAACAGACCAAAGAAAACUCCAGCUCUUCACAGAGUUUUAUGCUGUCUCUUACGAGAGGCAGCAGGCUAUCAUUCUCUCUGGUUUGGAGCAGCACAAGGUGAGUUGCAGACCACGUGGGCCCGACACUGAGAAUACUAAGAGGAAGUACACCUUCAAGUACCAUGUGCAACAAGGAGGCCAAAGACUUGCUGUUUGUAAGCUCACAUUUAUGUCAGUCUUUCAACUGACCAACAGUCGCCUACAGGUUAUUCAAGAAAAGUUAGGCAGUCAGUCUGAGGGAACAGAGCAGGUAGUGAGGUCUCCAUUAGAGGACUUCAGAGGAAAACAUAAGAACAGGCCUCAUAGCAUUCAUCCUGCAGUGAGAGAGGGGAUAAGAGAGCACAUCCUGAGCUUCCCACGCCAACCGAACCACUACUCACGGAUGAAGGGAGAUGUGGAGAGGGAGUACCUGAGCCCUGAUUUAAACCUGCUCCGCAUGUUCCGCCUGUACAAGGAAAACAAUCCAGCAUCCACUGCAAAGUUCUGGCUCUAUAGGGACAUCUUCAAGCAGCAAAACCUCAGAUUUGGGCAGCCAAGAAGUGAUACUUGUGCAAAAUGUGACGCCCUGUUCUCAAAAUUAGUAGCUGCUACAACAGAUGGAGAAAGGUUGAAGAUCACAGCCGAGAGUGAGCUUCACCACCGGAAAGCCGAAAAAGCGUACACCCAGUUGCAGGCUGACACAGAGUGGGCCAAAGCCAAUGAUGACUGCCAUGUCAUUUGUAUCGACAUGCAGUGGGUAGUGUUCACGCCAAACCUGACACACUCCAACGUGUACUAUCAACGGCAGCUGGCCAACUACAACCUCUGUAUCCAGGAGAUGGGCACUGACAAACCUCCUACAAUGUGCCUCUGGCAUGAGGGCAUCGCUCACAGAGGUUCCAUCGAGGUGGCAAGCUGUCUUUUGAAGUGGGCAGAAACAUCUUUCGCUCCCCUAGUCCAGGCAAAGGAACGGAAGCUCAUCAUCUAUAGUGACCGAUGCUGUGGGCAGAACAACAACUGGCGAGUCCUAAACCUCAUGGCCCUACUCGUAUCUAGAGGGUACUUCAGUCAGAUAGAGCAGAAGUUCAUGGUGUCUGGUCACUCCUUCCUUCCCUGUAACCGUUCAUUUGCCACGCUGGACAAGAGGCAUAAGGUGUCCACACUCCACACCCCCAGCGAUGUCGCCGAGAUGAUCCGUGGAACCAGGCAGCUGCAUCCAUUUAAAGUAAUUGAGAUGAAAUGUACGGACUUCAGGCAGCUCCCUGAUGCAACAUUAAAACAUCCACCUGGCUUCUUAAUCACAUCCAUGAUGUGGUUGAAAGUGACAGCUACUGAUCCAUGGUGUGUCCACACAAAAGGGAGCCACAGCCUCUACGAGGGAUGGAAGCAUUGGCUGAUCACCAAACAGAGGAAGAAUCAACCACCUCCAGCUCCCUUGUUCUCCACCACGUAUGCUCGUGCUUACGAGGACCCUCUGCCCAUCAAGAAGGAGAAGCACCGUGACCUUAUGAAAAUGCUAGCCUACAUGCCAGCGGAGGCCCAAGCAUUUUAUGUGAAUGUGAAGAGUAGCCUGGUAUGUGUAGGUCAUGUGCAGGGAAAGGUGGGAUAUAUUGUGUAUAUUGUGUGAAAUUAAUCAUAAAAGUAGUUGUAGCUUAUCUUGUAUGCCUUAUCGUAUGUUGUAUAAUAGGAAUAUAUAGGUAUUUAUUUUAUUUUAUUUAGAACCAAAAAAAGGAAGACGUAUAUGGUAAACUAGCAUAUGGAACCAGCAUGGAAUGAAGAUGAUGUAUGUCUGUAUUGUAAAUAUGUAUUGUUUACCAUUAUUACUGUUGAUUGUUUGUAUGUAUUGUUUAUUGUAAGUAUGUACGGUUUGUUUGUACUGACAUUUAUUUUCUGUACUAUAAGUAGGCCUAUGUAUUGUUCAUUGUUCGUACCGUAUUGUCCGCGUUUUUGUUCUGUGAUUUACGUUGGCAAAAAAUAAAAGAAAUUGAAAGAAAGAAAUGCUUAAUAUUUUCUUUAAGGUUCUGUUACUGUAUUAAAACUAAGAUAAAGGAAUCAAAUCUCCAGUGGUUUAAAUUGAUUUGAUUAAUUGGACUUAUACUGUUAUUCCACAUUAACUGGACAUAUACUGUUCUUCCACAUUCCAGAAAUG
ensembl:lncRNA